UACGAGGGGGGCAAGCGUUGUUCGGAAUUAUUGGGCGUAAAGGGCGCGUAGGCGGUGCGGUAAGUCACCUGUGAAAACUCUGGGCUCAACUCAGAGCCUGCAGGCGAAACUGCCGUGCUUGAGUGUGGGAGAGGUGCGUGGAAUUCCCGGUGUAGCGGUGAAAUUCGUAGAUAUUAGGAAGAACACCAGUGGCGAAGGCGGCUCACUGGUCCGGUACUGACGCUGAGGUGCGAAAGCGUGGGGAGCAAACAGG
rnacentral:rRNA from 1 species